UAAUGAAGGAAGCAUGGUAAUGUGCACAGAAAUCAAAAUUGGGUACUAAUGUCUGCUUGCUCUGAUGCCUUUCUGGCUCUGAUUUUGCGGGCCUGGAAUCAGACCUACAUUC
rnacentral:snoRNA from 1 species